rnacentral:rRNA from 1 species
UACGUAUUGUGCACGCGUUAAUCGGAAUUACUGGGCGUAAAGCGUGCGCAGGCGGUUUUGUAAGACAGAGGUGAAAUCCCCGGGCUCAACCUGGGAACUGCCUUUGUGACUGCAAGGCUAGAGUACGGCAGAGGGGGAUGGAAUUCCGCGUGUAGCAGUGAAAUGCGUAGAUAUGCGGAGGAACACCGAUGGCGAAGGCAAUCCCCUGGGCCUGUACUGACGCUCAUGCACGAAAGCGUGGGGAGCAAACAGGAUGAGAUAACCCAGUAGUCC